UACAGAGGUCUCAAGCGUUGUCCGGAAUCACUGGGCGUAAAGGGCGCGUAGGCGGCCUGAUAAGUAGGGGGUGAAAUCCUGCGGCUUAACCGCAGGGCUGCCUUCUAAACUGUCAGGCUGGAGCACAGUAGAGGCAGGUGGAAUUCCCGGUGUAGCGGUGGAAUGCGUAGAGAUCGGGAAGAACAUCAGUGGCGAAGGCGGCCUGCUGGGCUGUUGCUGACGCUGAGGCGCGACAGCGUGGGGAGCAAACAGG
rnacentral:rRNA from 1 species